rnacentral:rRNA from 1 species
AUUGAACGCUGGCGGCAGGCCUAACACAUGCAAGUCGAGCGGAUGAAGGGAGCUUGCUCCUGGAUUCAGCGGCGGACGGGUGAGUAAUGCCUAGGAAUCUGCCUGGUAGUGGGGGAUAACGUCCGGAAACGGGCGCUAAUACCGCAUACGUCCUGAGGGAGAAAGUGGGGGAUCUUCGGACCUCACGCUAUCAGAUGAGCCUAGGUCGGAUUAGCUAGUUGGUGGGGUAAAGGCCUACCAAGGCGACGAUCCGUAACUGGUCUGAGAGGAUGAUCAGUCACACUGGAACUGAGACACGGUCCAGACUACUACGGGAGGCAGCAGUGGGGAAUAUUGGACAAUGGGCGAAAGCCUGAUACAGCCAUGCCGCGUGUGUGAAGAAGGUCUUCGGAUUGUAAAGCACUUUAAGUUGGGAGGAAGGGCAGUAAGUUAAUACCUUGCUGUUUUGACGUUACCAACAGAAUAAGCACCGGCUAACUUCGUG